CCUACGGGAGGCAGCAGUGGGGAAUAUUGGGCAAUGGGCGCAAGCCUGACCCAGCAACGCCGCGUGAAGGAAGAAGGCUCUCGGGUUGUAAACUUCUUUUGUCAGGGACGAAGCAAGUGACGGUACCUGACGACUAAGCCACGGCUAACUACGGGCCAGCAGCCGCUGUAAUACGUCGGGGGCAAGCGUUAUCCGGAUUUACUGGGUGUAAAGGGCGUGUAGGCGGGACUGCAAGUCAGAUGUGAAAACUCAGGGCUCAACCCUGAGCCUGCAUUUGGAACUGUGUUUCUUGAGUGCUGGGGAGGCAAUCGGAAUGCCGUGUGUAGCGGUGAAAUGCGUAGAUAUACGGAAGAACACCAGUGGCGAAGGCGGAUUGCUGGACAGUAACUGACGCUGAGGCGCGAAAGCGUGGGGAGCAAACAGGAUUAGAUACCCGAGUAGUC
rnacentral:rRNA from 1 species